UAGACAACCCACCUUCGACUCCGGGAUAACUGGGAGAAAUCACAGCUAAUACCGGAUAGGUUCGCCGGGUCACAUGAUCUGGCGAUUAAAGGAGGCCUCUUAACAAUGCUCCUGGUUGAAGACGGGUCUAUGUCCUAUCAGCUUGAUGGUGAGGUAACGGCUCACCAUGGCAAUAACGGGUAGCCGACCUGAGAGGGUGACCGGCCACACUGGGACUGAGACACUGCCCAG
rnacentral:rRNA from 1 species